AGUGAACGCUGGCGGUAGGCCUAACACAUGCAAGUCGAACGGCAGCACAGUAAGAGCUUGCUCUUACGGGUGGCGAGUGGCGGACGGGUGAGGAAUACAUCGGAAUCUACUUUUCGUGGGGGAUAACGUAGGGAAACUUACGCUAAUACCGCAUACGACCUACGGGUGAAAGCAGGGGAUCUUCGGACCUUGCGCGAUUGAAUGAGCCGAUGUCGGAUUAGCUAGUUGGCGGGGUAAAGGCCCACCAAGGCGACGAUCCGUAGCUGGUCUGAGAGGAUGAUCGGCCACACUGAACCUAGAACACGUUCCAAACUCCAACGGAAGGCAGCAGUGGGAAAUAUUGGAAAAUGGGCGCAAGCCUGUUCCAGCCAUACCGCGUGGGUGAGAAAGGCCUUCGGGUGUAAAGCCCUUUUGUUGGGAAAGAAAAGCAGCAGGUUAAUACCCCGCUGUUCUGACGGUACCCAAAGAAUAAGCACCGGCUAACUUCGUG
rnacentral:rRNA from 1 species